CUAACUCAAAGGAAGUGGAGAUGGCUGGCUGAGGAAAUCCAAAGGUCCUCUCCUCCUCCGAGGCAGUGCCCUGCAUGUCCACUCUGUUUCCUGGUUGGGAGUCUGACUUCUGCCAAGUGAAAGCUCAUCUGAUAGGAACAGCUGAAUUCCUGUUUCUGUACUACUCCAAAACACAUUUAGAAAAUCUUCUGAAAAAAUUGUCAGAGGAGGUUGGAAUAUGUUAUCUACAACUGAAGAUCAUGUCGACAAUGUAAUUUCCUCCAGACUAUGUACUGUAGCUCUCCUUGAUGCUGCUGCUGUUUGCUAUGGAAAAAAACAGUGACCCUGAUUAUGAACCACUGAAGUCAUGUCAUUGAGUCUGAACACUGGCACUGCCUACUAGCAGUCUCUCACGUUCCAUUAGAUGCUAGUAGGAUAUUAG
rnacentral:lncRNA from 1 species